rnacentral:lncRNA from 1 species
AUGAUAACAAAGAACUUCCAAACAGCCAUUACACUGCAUGAGUAUGUGGGAAACUGCUCAUCAGUCAUUUACAACAGAGGGAAUUUCGCAAUCCUGGAAGAAGGACUAGUAAGUAUAGUCAAAGUGUUCCUCUUUCAUUUUCUCUUUCACCAUUUCCAUACUAGCCCGGUGUGUAACCAGAUAGCUUUCUAAGACCUCUGUUAGCAAGCAGAGUUUGGUGUGCAGGCACCAAUCCUAAUAUUACGGGAGCUCAGAGGUCUUUGAGUGCAGAGCAAAUAGCUUUUAAGAGCAAUGCCAAUUGCUAAAAGGAUCAUAUUACAAUAAUAGAUUUGAAAGCUUAUACUCCAAACAGCAUUGCGAAUGAGAGCUGACAACAGAGAUGAAUUUUGUGAGCUGCUAGGAGCAGAGCAGGACUUGCUUAUUGCACUAAUGAACGUGGCUUGUGGGAAAGCUGACACCUCAUUGAAAUCAGGCCUCUCAAUCACCCAUGAUUACUGUGGGACUCAGAAGGGAUGCAGAAGCAGCUACACGAUGCUGGAUGAGAAGACACCGGAAGCUAUUCAAAUGAGAAGAGAUGGAUGGAUAAUUCUGACGUUCUCAGCCUCAGUCUGGAGAGGGAUCUGGAAGGAGCUGGGAGCCUGCUCAGCUGUUGCUUGACGGACUGCUUUUCAUCCAUUUUGAGAGGAAGCCUCAGAAGCUGAGCUCUCGGUACUUUUCAGAAUGCUUGUGCUUUUGGGGAUUCCUAGUGCUUUUAUUUACUGUUUCAGAAUAUUUGCAUUCUGGUUUGCGUGUGACAUAUGCAUUGGAAGUAGCUUGAAAUCCUGGAGGUUUCUUUACCUGCAUGCCUAAAUACAGCAGCACCUUGCUUGGCAGACUGAAGAAAAGAUUGAGAGUGUUUUGGCUGUAAUUUCUGACCAUGGUCAAAUCAAGACCUCAGUUUCCCCAAUCACAGACUCCUCAUUUGGACCACACUUAAGCAACAACGGUUUAUGUCUCUAAAACAGAAGAGCUAUUAUCAACUAAGGUUAAAAUAUAUUCAGUCAAUCGGGUUCUGGUUUGGGGACGUUAUGGAUGUUAUGUAAAAUGAAGUACUGACAAAGUAGCACAGCAAUGAAAUUCUAUUUGUAAGUCCACUGGUUUCCAAACAACUGCUAAUGGCAACUUCUUUCUGGACAUCAACAGGGCGGGAAUGGAGGACGAAGUGAGGUGCAAGGGAGCAUGUGGCCCAGAAGAGGCAUACAAAUCCUGCCUACACACUCUAUGCGAACAGCCGGAGCUGACUCACGGGCAGCACAGGAUGAGUAUGUUCUGCAGCAGAUGCCACUCUGUGCUGUAUCCCGUGGCUUUCGUAUUUUACAAACAUCCUGCUGCCUCUCAAAUGUCUGUAAGAAUGGUUUUGAAAAUGUAAGCCAAAGAUAAGCAAUGCAAAGGUGUCUGCUUGAGUCCACAGGCAGGCAGAGCAAGAUCUUCAAAGGUCUGAAUGUUUGCCAUUCAUCUUAAUGGCAUGUUAUUACUAAAGUCAUGCAGCAAUACACGGGUUAGGGUUGUUAACUAUUUCAUUGCAGGGUAAAACUUGAAAGGAAAUGUUAAAUUGAUGAAUAGCCUGUAGGUAUACUUUAGUCAUUCUCAAUGCCAUCUCGUUUUGGCCUUAAAUUGCAGUAACAUUUUUAUCUGAGCUUCGUACUUGCAUUAUAAAGAACUGUCUAGAAAUUAUUUCCAGACUGAAUUAGCUGGUAUUCCGACUGUGAUGCUGCUUACCUGACCGUCUAUCUUUACAUCACAAUUUGGCACUUCUGUGGCCAUCAGUUUAUAAGAUUCAAGCUUCUGAGGAGAGCAAGUGGGGCAAAUCUUACGUGAUAACAAAGAUCAGCAAGAGCUACACAAUUAAAUUAAGACAGAAAAGGUUGAUGUGUUGUGUCUUGGCAAUUCUGCAAGUUUUGAGACAGAUGCUGUCAUCUAUUUAACUGAGGGAAGCAAAUGUCCCUUCUCCAACUAAAUGUAAAGUGGAGGGGGACUCCGAGUCAAGUAGAAAUUUACAGUAGAUCUACCAAAUUAUUUUUCCUAAGUGGGGCACUGCUGGGACUGCAAAAGAGCUUUUAAAGUCAAACUCAUUUUAUUAUAACAGAAACUGGAUCCUGUAGCUUUUUUAACAGAUAAAAUUUUGCAGCAUUUGGAAACAGAAUUCCUUCUCACCCACUGUGUCCUGGCAGAAAGGGUCCCUUUUUCGGGCUUCCUCCCAGUUCAGCAGCUCGGGAACUUUCUGUAUUGCACCAAAGCCUCCUCUGAGAAAGAUCCCUGAGACUCUAGGAAAUAUCUUUUGUCCCAUCACUGAGGCCUGGCUGUGUGUCUGCUCUUCUCAGCAGUUUGCCUGUCUCUGCCUGUGAUGCGGGCUCUGUGCCUGCUGAGUUCUCCUCAUAUCCUCACAGGAGUACUCCCACAUUUGACUCAGCAAUUAAUUAUUUUAAUUUUAUUGCUGUUUAACUGAAUUCAUAUACUAUACACUAUCUAAAAAAAUCGUGUGGAAAAUGAGAGAGGCUGAUUAGAGAGGAACUAUCUGCAGGGUGAGAGGAGAGGAAGCUGAAGGCUAUGAACUGUCAGAUGAAGGGAAUUUUAAGACUAGCUUGGCACUGAGUGUCUGUGGUGAAAGAAUAUCACGAAGAGCAGUCUCCAGCCAAGUCUUUGGGGGCUGGUUUCUUUGUUCUUCUUUGCUUUAGUGCUUAAUCCCAUAAAAACUGUACGUGGCAUUACUGAAAGAAAUGACCCAUGAAGAAGAUUGGUAUGGCUGUCAGAAACAGACAAAACAAUGAAGAUCUUUGGAAAGAGCUAUAGGAGAUCGGGUAGGAAGAGCUACGAGAAGUACAGAAAUAUCAAGCAUUGGCAGAAAGAGAAACAUGAAUGAAAAGAGAGAAACUGUACACGAUAAGGUGUUGCUUUGUAGUAAUGUUGGAAAUACAGUAAUAUAUUCCAACCUCUGCACAGAGUCUUCAAGAAAGGACUGCCUGCCUAGCAAAUUGAGUGGAUACUUCGGUCAGUGCACCUUGAGCUCCAGGAGGCUGUGCAAAGCAGAGCCCCAGCCAGUCCCCUGGUAACAGCAGGCCUCAGGCCGUGCAGCUGCCGGAGUAGAUGCCACACCAACAGGGCUCUCAUCACGGCAGGGAAACCAGGCUGCUGGCAGUGUGUGACAGGGGGAUGCUCUGGACACAAAGGUGCAACGCAGUGCCCUGCCUGCUGGGUUGGAAUCCCAGGCAGACAAGUGUCACGCUGCAGGUAUGCACGUAGGGUGCUCUGAGAGCCGCUCCUUAAUGAGCUGGUAGCAUGCCAGCCUUUGAUUGGCAUGAGGCAACCACAUGGGUUUUAAUCUCUUCCUCUGCAUGCAUAGUGACUAUUAAUGAGAGGAUUACUGUGAAGUGGCCUGAAACUGAAUGGCAUGUGUAGAAUCUCACGGCUACAUAAGUCACAGGCAAGCUUGGAUAGCACAAGAAAGGUGCAGCCUUCUUCACGUUUUCCAAAAAGAAUUGGGAAGAUCAAAUACUCGGUGUCAAACUCUUGCAUGGAGGUACCCAAACUCAUAACGAACAUCAGCUCUAAAAGUUCUGUUGUCACUGCCAGUAUGUGAAUACCUCGCAUGGGUGUCACCUUGUUCCUCUAGCACCGAAAGUCGAGCGGUGGGAGAGGUGAUCCCAUCAGCUGAGGCAGCUGACAAGCCAGUAACUUCUGCAGAUCAGAUUGUAAAAAAUGUUGUAAACAAGCACGUGCCUGGAUUUACCCUGUAGGACGGUAUAAUACCCGGCUAUGGAACUGCAGGGUCGCUGCUUGCCAAAAUAAGACUGAAUAAGCUGAUGUUUUGCAGGUACUCCAGGCUCACCCUCGUCUCCUGAGCACAUUCUGCAGCACUUCAUAGUUAAGGUUACACAGACACGCUCAGCAAAACAGGAUCCUUUCCACCGGGGUGAGGGGAGCAGAGAGAUGGCUGCUAGCUGCCAGCCUAGAGUGGAAAGUGAGUCAUGGUCAUGAAAUAGGUCAUUUCCACUCCAUGUGAACGCUCUCGCAUAGUAUUCAGGUUAGUUUCUGUAACAAGGAACAGUCUGGGCUCAGGUUUACUUCUGGGCUUGCCGCUUCUGCUGCAGAUAAGCAGGAAAAAAUAAGCUGUAUAAAAAUGGGUGUUUUCAGCUGAUGAACGUAUGACUGUGGAUUCUGGCAAAAUUAUUCUAACUUCCACUGAUUGAACAUGUGGUUUAGUUUUGUUUCAUGCAUCCAGGCAGCUUCUUUAAAAA